rnacentral:rRNA from 1 species
AAUGAGGACUCGUAUCAACGGCAUCACGAGGGCUUUACUGUCUCCUUUUUCCAAUCAGUGAAACUAAUUUCCCCGUGAAGAAGCGGGGAUAUACCUAUAAGACGAGAAGACCCCAUGGAGCUUUAAACCCAGCCACACCCCCUCCACACACUAUAUCCUCUCAGUAGUUCGGGACCUGUGUGCUCGGUUUUAGGUUGGGGUGACCGUGGAGUACAAUAUAACCUCCAUGACAAACAAGAUUAUUCUCUUAUCCAAGAGCCACGCCUCUAAGAAUUAACACACUAAUGUAAAAUGAUCCGAUAAUCGAUCAACGGACCAAGUUACCCUGGGGAUAACAGCGCAAUCCAUUUCAAGAGCCCCUAUCGACAAAUGGGUUUACGACCUCGAUGUUGGAUCAGGAUAUCCCAGUGGUGCAGCAGCUACUAAAGGUUUGUUUGUUCAACAAUUAAAAUCCU